rnacentral:rRNA from 1 species
AUUGAACGCUGGCGGCAUGCUUUACACAUGCAAGUCGAACGGUAACAGGCCUUCGGGUGCUGACGAGUGGCGCACGGGUGAGUAAUGCAUCGGAACGUACCCAGAGGUGGGGGAUAAUGCAGCGAAAGCUGUGCUAAUACCGCAUGUGAUCUGAGGAUGAAAGCGGGGGACCGAGCAGCAAUGUUUGGCCUCGCGCCUUUGGAGCGGCCGAUGUCGGAUUAGCUAGUUGGUGGGGUAAAGGCCUACCAAGGCGACGAUCCGUAGCUGGUCUGAGAGGACGACCAGCCACACUGGGACUGAGACACGGCCCAGACUCCUACGGGAGGCAGCAGUGGGGAAUUUUGGACAAUGGGCGCAAGCCUGAUCCAGCAAUGCCGCGUGCGGGAAGAAGGCCUUCGGGUUGUAAACCGCUUUUGGCAGGAACGAAACGGUGUCCGCUAAUACCGGGCGCUAAUGACGGUACCUGCAGAAUAAGCACCGGCUAACUACGUG